AUUGAACGCUGGCGGCAUGCUUUACACAUGCAAGUCGAACGGUAACAGACCGCAAGGUGCUGACGAGUGGCGAACGGGUGAGUAACGCAUCGGAACGUGCCCAGUCGUGGGGGAUAACGCAGCGAAAGCUGUGCUAAUACCGCAUACGAUCUAUGGAUGAAAGCGGGGGACCGUAAGGCCUCGCGCGAUUGGAGCGGCCGAUGUCAGAUUAGGUAGUUGGUGGGGUAAAGGCCCACCAAGCCAACGAUCUGUAGCUGGUCUGAGAGGACGACCGGCCACACUGGGACUGAGACACGGCCCAGACUCCUACGGGAGGCGGCAGUGGGGAAUUUUGGACAAUGGGCGCAAGCCUGAUCCAGCAAUGCCGCGUGCAGGAAGAAGGCCUUCGGGUUGUAAACUGCUUUUGUACGGAACGAAACGGUCUGGGUUAAUACCCUGGGCUAAUGACGGUACCGUAAGAAUAAGCACCGGCUAACUACGUGCCAGCCGCCGCCGUAACAC
rnacentral:rRNA from 1 species